AUCCUGCUGACGAGUCCCAAAUAGGACGAACCGCGCGUACUGGAU
rnacentral:hammerhead_ribozyme from 1 species